GACGAACGCUGGCGGCGUGCCUAAUACAUGCAAGUAGAACGCUGAAGGAGGAGCUUGCUCUUCUGGAUGAGUUGCGAACGGGUGAGUAACGCGUAGGUAACCUUCCUGGUAGCGGGGGAUAACUAUUGGAAACGAUAGCUAAUACCGCAUAACAGUAGAUGUUGCAUGACAUUUGCUUAAAAGGUGCAAUUGCACCACUACCAGAUGGACCUGCGUUGUAUUAGCUAGUUGGUGGGGUAACGGCUCACCAAGGCGACGAUACAUAGCCGACCGGAGAGGGUGAGCGGCAACACUGGGACUGAGACACGGCCCAGACUCCUACGGGAGGCAGCAGUAGGGAAUCUUCGGCAAUGGACGGAAGUCUGACCGAGCAACGCCGCGUGAGUGAAGAAGGUUUUCGGAUCGUAAAGCUCGGUUGUAAGAGAAGAACGAGUGUGAGAGUGGAAAGUUCACACUGUGACGGUAUCUUACCAGAAAGGGACGGCUAACUACGUG
rnacentral:rRNA from 1 species